rnacentral:lncRNA from 1 species
AGAUAUUAGUCAGUUUUAUUUGUUGUAUUACUGUUCCUGACAAAGUUCAACCUGUUGCUCCACUAAUCCCGCACAAAGCUCUACAGUCUGAUUGAUUCGUCAGUCUGGUGUCUCCAUAAGCUUCCAAUGACUCUGAAAGUUUUUAAGCGCCUUGAAGCGUGUUCGACAUACAUGUAUACCCGAUACUCUGAUAUAUGCAAAUUCAUUUUUUUUUUAAUAUUUUCUUCUUUCUGCUCGUUGUUUAGCUCUAAGUUGAUGGCGCCUGUAGCGGAUAAAGAGGGGCGAUGGACAUGGAUAAUUUUUUCCCGCUAAGAUGACAAAAUUCGGUGGGAAAUCUAACUCCAAACCUGGUCGAAUGAAAGGCAAUAGAUUAUACUGUUGGGCAUCAUUUUGGUGUCCUAUAUAUGAAACCACUUCGAAUAAAUCUUGUAUGACUUCUGUUGUCCACAAUCACCUAUGUAUGAAUGCAAUGUCCGCAAAAAGUGGAGCUAAAAUGUAAAUGCAAAGCCAUUAUGCAAUGCUUUUGAAACUCUGCAGGGAAGUUCAACCGGUGAGUAGUGAGUCAUAUUUUACACAAAC